AUCUUGUUCGUCUUCUCAUGCUCGGAUCUCCUGCUCGUCUAGAGCCCCGUACUGCCGAUGUGUAUAUGAGCCAUACAAGCUAGCUAGACUUAAUUCCAAUAGGUCGCUACAACUACUUCAAUUCCUGCAAUUAUGUUUCUUCCAUCUUCUGGUGGCCUAUGUUAUUAUUGCUACGAUUUCAUUAGAGAGCACAGCAGGGAGCAUGUCCUGAAUUUAGAUACCACUUGCUGUUCACUUGAAGAACAAAGGAACUAGAAAUUUCAACCUGCAUAGUAUGUACUUGAAGUUUGAAUUUGUCCAGACUCGAUGGAAAAUCAUUUUCUUUCUUUUCCCAUUGCUAGUAGUAGCUGGAGCAGCAGUACAAUGUCUGAAUCUGAUUCUGAGAAAGAUCUUACAAUGUCUGAAUCUGAUUCCGAGGAAGAAGAAGAUGAUGAAAUGAUGAUGCUUGUCUUUCCAGCAUUAUACUUAGCUUCAACCAAAACCAAAACUCCUAGUCAUACAUCAAAGCUUAGUGGCGCAGAAUAUACCCGUGAACUUCUAGAGGGCCAUAGGAGCCGAUGUUUUACCAAUCUUCGGAUGGAGGCACGUAUUUUCCAAGGAAUUUCAGAUUAUAUUUGUUCAAAGAAUCUUUUGCGAAGUACAAGAGGUGUUAUCGUUGAAGAGCAGCUUGCAAUGUUCAUGUACAUGCUUGCACGAAAUGCUAGUUUUUCAGCUCUAUGUGAUAGGUUUCAGCAUAGCCGAGAAACCAUACACAGGCAUAUUGGUGCAUGCUUUGAUGCAAUCACCUCAAUGACAUUUGAUUUUGUGAAGCCUCCAUCAGCCGAGACCCACUACAAAAUAUCAUCCAAUCCACAUUUCGGGCCAUACUUUCAGAACUGUUUAGGUGCAAUAGAUGGGACUCAUGUUCCGAUCUCAAUAAAUGAGAGUAAGGCAGCACCAUAUCGAAAUAGAAAAGGAUCUUUAUCGCAAAAUGUAAUGCUUGCUUGUGACUUUGAUUUGAAUUUUACAUAUGUUUCAACUGGUUGGGAAGGGUCUGCGUCUGAUGCAGGGUCCUUAAAUCUGCAAUUAGAUCUGGUUUUCAAGUGCCUAGAGGCAAGUACUAUCUAGUUGAUGGGGGCUACGCAAACACUCUGCACUUUCUUGCUCCUUACCGAGGAGUCCGGUACCAUCUUAAGGAUCAAGGGCGAAGCAAUUGUCGGCCAAGGGAUUACAAGGAAUUAUUCAACCUUCGUCACGCCCGCCUUCGCAAUCACAUAGAGCGUGCUAUUGGCAUUCUAAAGAUGAGGUUUCCUAUAUUGAAAGUCACCACACACUAUCCCAUAGAGACUCAAGUUAAAAUUCCAGCAGUUGCAGUUGUGUUGCAUAAUAUAAUCCGAAGGUACAAUGGUGAUGAAGAGUGGUUAAGUAGCCAGAAAACUCCAAUUCACCCCUGCAAGUUUGUGGCUCUACCUACUGAUAAUGAAAGUUACAGAGAUGAUGUUGCAUCAUCGAGCAACCAAAGAAACGAGGGUAAUGCUAUGAGAGAUGAAAUUGCAAAGAGGAUGUGGAUUGAUUACGAAAAGACCAGGAGGCGAAGGAGGAGGGGACAAUGAUAAUUAUAGUCGAUAUCACAUUUCUAGUUAUCAUUUCUUCCAUCCAGCGCUGCUGUAUCUUCAGUUGUAUAUAAAAUAGAUCUGAUGAUGUCUCAAAGAGCAAGGUGGACCUCAAAAUAUGAGAAAGCGCUAGUUGAUGUACUCACUGAGUAUAGGCUUUCUCAUUUUCGUGGUCAAAAUGGCUGGUGUACUGAAGGUUGGAAUAGAAUUGUGAAAGAUUUCAACAGUCUUUGUCCAGAUGCCAAUUUUACUAAAGCUCAGAUUCAAGACAAAGAGUCACAAUUGAAGAAGGAUUACAAAGCAGUCAAAUCCAUUCGCAAGCGUAGUGGAGUCUCUUGGAAUCAGACUGCGUCUAUGAUUAACACAACAUCUGAAAUCUGGGAUGAAAUAAUAGAAGAGGAUUCAAAGUUGAGGAGGUAUGAAAACAAAAGCUUCCCAUUGUUUGAUGCACUGGACCUGUUAUAUGAAGGACAAUUUGCUGAAGGAAAGCAUUGCUUCACCUCUAAGUAAACCUCAGCAUGUUGGAAGUAAACGGUCCGGAGGCACGGAAAAGAUGCUCUUAGAUUUCACUAAGAAACGUCCAUGGGACGCUGCAAUCAAUGUAGGAGCUCAUGAUGGUGAAGAAUCAAUUUAUCGAACAAGAAUGGAUGACUUGAGUAUGCAAGAUUUGGAGAGUGAAUCUUUACAAUCUCAAGGGCAAGAGAAACAAUCUCUGCAAGAUUUGGAGAUUGAGCAGCAUGUACAUGGUAAAGGACGUAACAAAA